rnacentral:rRNA from 1 species
GAGCACGCUUAGGCGUGUGACUGCGUACCUUUUGUAUAAUGGGUCAGCGACUUAUAUUCUGUAGCAAGGUUAACCGAAUAGGGGAGCCGAAGGGAAACCGAGUCUUAACUGGGCGUUAAGUUGCAGGGUAUAGACCCGAAACCCGGUGAUCUAGCCAUGGGCAGGUUGAAGGUUGGGUAACACUAACUGGAGGACCGAACCGACUAAUGUUGAAAAAUUAGCGGAUGACUUGUGGCUGGGGGUGAAAGGCCAAUCAAACCGGGAGAUAGCUGGUUCUCCCCGAAAGCUAUUUAGGUAGCGCCUCGUGAAUUCAUCUCCGGGGGUAGAGCACUGUUUCGGCAAGGGGGUCAUCCCGACUUACCAACCCGAUGCAAACUGCGAAUACCGGAGAAUGUUAUCACGGGAGACACACGGCGGGUGCUAACGUCCGUCGUGAAGAGGGAAACAACCCAGACCGCCAGCUAAGGUCCCAAAGUCAUGGUUAAGUGGGAAACGAUGUGGGAAGGCCCAGACAGCCAGGAUGUUGGCUUAGAAGCAGCCAUCAUUUAAAGAAAGCGUAAUAGCUCACUGGUCGAGUCGGCCUGCGCGGAAGAUGUAACGGGGCUAAACCAUG